rnacentral:rRNA from 1 species
AUAAGGUAAGGGAAAAUAAUGAUAUUACCUUACUAUUAGUGUCGUCCAACUCUCGUGCCAGAAGACUCGGUAAGGCGAGAGACACAAACGUUAGUCGUCUUGAUCAGGCGUAAAGGGUUUGUAGGCGGCUUUAAGUAUCUUUUUUAAAGUUUAUUAUUAUAAAGCUAAAUAUUAUAUUUUUAGUUUUGUAUUAUAUAUUAAAAUCAAUUAAAGCUAGAAUCUAAAAGAGGUUAAAACAAUGCUUGAUUACAGGUGUACUAAGUAGAGUGUUAAGGGCGAAGGCUUUUUUCCAAUAAAGAUUGACGCUGAGAAACGAAGGUGAGGAAAGAAAAAAGGAUUAGAGACCCUUGUAUCCCUCACUGUCAACGAUGAAUGGUAGUUACUAGAGAGAAAUAAUCUAGAGACAAUGUUAACACGAAAACCAUUCCGCCUUGUGAGUACGACUGCAAAGUUGAAAACAAAAAAAUUAGUCGGUUUCGGAGCAAACGAAGUGAAG